CCGCGUAGAAUGAUGAAGGUCUUAGGAUUGUAAAAUUCUUUCACCGGGGACGAUAAUGACGGUACCCGGAGAAGAAGCCCCGGCUAACUUCGUGCCAGCAGCCGCGGUAAUACGAAGGGGGCUAGCGUUGCUCGGAAUUACUGGGCGUAAAGGGAGCGUAGGCGGACAUUUAAGUCAGGGGUGAAAUCCCGGGGCUCAACCUCGGAAUUGCCUUUGAUACUGGGAGUCUUGAGUAUGAGAGAGGUGUGUGGAACUCCGAGUGUAGAGGUGAAAUUCGUAGAUAUUCGGAAGAACACCAGUGGCGAAGGCGACACACUGGCUCAUUACUGACGCUGAGGCUCGAAAGCGUGGGGAGCAAACAGGAUUAGAUACCCUGGUAGUCCACGCCGUAAACGAUGAUUGCUAGUUGUCGGGAUGCAUGCAUUUCGGU
rnacentral:rRNA from 1 species